UAGACAGAUGCUUGUUGGUUUAAGCGCUUAGCUGUUAACUAAGAAUGCGCAAGAUCGAAGCUUGCCUGUCUAG
rnacentral:tRNA from 2 species